AUACAGAGGGUGCGAGCGUUAAUCGGAAUUACUGGGCGUAAAGCGCGCGUAGGCGGUCUAUUAAGUCAGAUGUGAAAUACCAGGGCUCAACCUUGGAACUGCAUCUGAUACUGGUAGACUAGAGUUUUGGAGAGGGAAGUAGAAUUUCAGGUGUAGCGGUGAAAUGCAUAGAGAUCUGAAGGAAUACCAGUGGCGAAGGCGACUUCCUGGCCAAAAACUGACGCUGAGGUGCGAAAGCGUGGGUAGCAAACGGGAUUAGAAACCCCAGUAGUCC
rnacentral:rRNA from 1 species